GCCGGGCGCAGUAGCACGUGCCUGUAGUCCCAGCCACUCGGGAGGCUGAGGUGGGAGGAUCGCUUGAGCCCAGGAGUUCUGGGCUGUAGUGCGCUAUGCCGAUCGGGUAUCCGUACUAAGUUCGGCAUCAAUAUGGUGACCUCCUGGGAGCAGGGAACCACCAGGUUGCCUAAGGAGGGGUGAACCUGCCCAGGUCAGAAGUGGAGCAGGUCAAAGCUCCCAUGCUGAUCAGUAGUGGGAUCGCGCCUGUGAAUAGCCACUGCACUCCAGUCUGGGCAACAUAGCGAGACCUCGUCUCU
rnacentral:SRP_RNA from 1 species